GGUUUGUGUUUCAUGUAUAAAUGGAUCUCUGACAGAAAGAGCUGCUGUGGUUAUUGGAUUGAUAUUCAGUGACAUGAAACUCAAUCAGGCAGUGCGUCUCAGUGUGGUGAAGUGAAAUCCACAUCCUCUCUUUGGACAUAAAAUACCGGUUAGUUGUUCAGAAAGUCACUCUGACAUUGUUGAAAGAACCUGAUGCUCUGGAUGGAAUAGCUGACAAAAUAACAGACAAGAAUAACAAUUCAUAAUCAGAUAUUUUGAAGUAAAGUGCAUGAAUUUCAUGAAAACAUGAUCAUUUUCCAAUCUAAAUCUAAAUAAAAGAAUUAACUGUAUUUUUCCAUAAGAAAAUGAAGCCUAUUUUGAAGCAUUUUCAUAAUAAUCAAAUUACCAUUAACAAAAUGCAUCUGGAUGCUUUUUUUUUAUAUAUUUUUUUUGAUGAAUUACCAUGAUUCACAAUAAUGAUUCUCAUUACUGUAAGGUAAUAAGGUAAUAAUAGUAAACUAUCAGGUAGUACAUCAUCUACCAUAAUGUAUAAAUAUUGUACAAUCUUAAUAAUAUAUCUUUUUUUUUUUUUUUUUUUUGCAUUUUUGUUUGCAGUAAUAAGACUUGAGAACUGAGAUUUCAAACUUUUUUAAAAUGAAAUGAAUUUUUUUAAUGCUGUAAAUUAGGCUUUUUUAAUUUUAUGAAUUCAUUUAUUAAUUAUUUGAAAUAAUUAUUUUUAUUUAUUUGUUUAUAAUGAUUUUUUUGUAACUCAUAAAACAUAACAAUUCAACUAUUGAUCUUAAUCUGCCAUACCCUGAAGUCCAUUGGUCAUGAAUUAAUGUUUGUACAGAGUGUGGUUCUGGAGUGAGUCCGGAUCGGGGCGAGUGUGUAAGAGGGGAAGUUUGGACCUUACAGCCCUGAACCGCUCAACUGCAUGGGCCCCGGGGCCACAGAGGGCUGCGUGUGUGAGGAGGGCCGGUGUGUGAUUCCAGCACUGUGUCAGUGUGAAGAGGAAGACGGGACGCUUCGAGAGGGCGAAGGGAAGGUUCUGGAAGCGGAGAGCUGCUGUCCCGUGUGCCACAGAGAGUAUCCAGAGGAUCCGGUUGCUGAGUGCCUCCUUACUCUGAGGUCAGGAACAUCACCAAGGGCGACUGUCGCCUGGACAACGUGGGGGUCAGCUUCUGCAGAGGGCGCUGUUUGUCCCGGACCGAUGUCAGUCUGGAGGUGCCGUAUCUUCAGGUGUUCUGUGACUGCUGCAGCUAAGGCUGGACCCGCAGAACCCGUGCUCUUCCUCAGCUUACAGUGCGCCAGCGGAGACGUCGAGCCCGUCGUUCACAGCUGCGAGUGCACCAGCUGCCAGGGUGGGCAAUGCCAGAGGAAACAGCCUCAAACAUCGUUCUGUGUCUCUGACAUCAGGGGAUGAAUCUCCUCUCCGCUUUGUUUGGAAAGAUUAACACACAGCAGUUUAUGAGGACAAAGAGAAGUCAAAACAAAAAUAAACGAUAUUAGGCAGAAUGUCCGAGCUUCUGU
ensembl:lncRNA